rnacentral:lncRNA from 1 species
UCGGAUGAAGCGCACAGCCACGAUUUGGGUUACACACUUGAAAAUCAGGGGCUUCCAUAUUUCAGUCUUGAGUUCGGUCUCCCUGGGAAGGUGGGGCCACCAGCCCCAUGCCCCCGUUGCACGGAUCAGCUGGAGCAGAAUCCCGGCUUCCCUCCGGAUGGGCCUGGGUCCAUGCCCGCGCUCACUGCCCAGAUCUCUCUGGCUCUUACGGACACGAGUUUGCGACCUCUGAGUCACUGGGUGGGCUCGUCGAAAAGACCCGGGCGUCUCACUCUGGAGCUCACAGUCGUACGGAGAAGACAGGACCAGCCGAGGAGGAGGGCGGCGCGUGCGAGGGUCGCCUUCUUCCCAGGGCACCGGGGGCGUGGGUGCUGCGGGAGCGCGCCGAAAGGGCAGCCUUGGAAGCGGGCGCAGCUUCGGCAGACACAGGGCUGAGGGGCUGCGGAGCUCGGGGGCCGGAGCCAGGCUGCAGGGCACGGCCUCGCCCGUUGCCCCUCCUUGCUUCUGCGGGAGGUGGGCGCGCCCAAGACGGAACCUGGGGCGUCAGAACGAAAAGCAGCGGCGCCGCGCUUCCCGGCCGGACAGCCUCCAGCGCAGCGCCCCGGCCGGAAGCCUUCUCGCCGCCGCUUCCUCUCGAGAAGGCGUGCGGCGGGCUGUCUGGCCCGCAGGGCUGGCAAGGCGCUCGAGGAGUCGUAGCCGGUCCCGGGACGGGGGUCGGAAAAAAGAAAGAAGAGCAGGAAGGACGCCUCCGCAUCCCAAGGUUGCAAGGCCAGCACGGCCCUCGGGGCGGAGGAGAGAAGCAAGCACAAGGCCCGGAGGAGACCACGAUCCAGCUUCUCCUCCUCCUCUUCCAGUUCUUCUAGCUCCUCUUCUUCCUCCUCGUCCUCCUCUUCCUCCAGUGAUGGCCGGAAGAAGCGGGGGAAGUACA